GACACUGUGGCCGAGUGGUUAAGGCGGUAGACUAGAAUCGCAAACCUUUGUGAUCUACUCUCUUCGGAGGCACAGGUUCGAAUCCUGUCGGUGUCG